rnacentral:rRNA from 1 species
AAGUUCCUACGGGGCGCAGCAGUGGGGAAUAUUGGGCAAUGGGCGCAAGCCUGACCCAGCAACGCCGCGUGAAGGAAGAAGUAUUUCGGUAUGUAAACUUCUAUCAGCAGGGAAGAAAAUGACGGUACCUGACUAAGAAGCCCCGGCUAACUACGUGCCAGCAGCCGCGGUAAUACGUAGGGGGCAAGCGUUAUCCGGAUUUACUGGGUGUAAAGGGAGCGUAGGCGGUUUAGCAAGUCAGAAGUGAAAGCCCGGGGCUCAACUCCGGGGCUGCUUUUGAAACUGUUGAACUAGAUUGCAGGAGG